UCAGAUUCUCGACAAUCUGUACCUGGGAAGUCUCAGGCAAGCUUCAAAUGCCGAACUCUUAAAGGAAUUAAAGAUCACUCACAUAUUGGCUGUCGGUCAAGAACUACCCUUGAAAUUUCC
rnacentral:ribozyme from 1 species